GGCGGCAUCGGCGACGAGAUCCUGCAGCGGGCGUCCAUCAUCUCCUCGCCUCCGCGCUCCGACACCUCCACCCCGUCGGCGCCGCCCUCCCCAUCCCCGUCCCUGCCGCCGAACCCGCACUCGUCCCGCCGCAAGUCCCGCUUCCACGGCCCCUCCGGCCCAGACCCCUCCGCCUCCCUCCGCCGCACCACCUCCUCCGCGUCCAACUCUCCACCCACCGCCUCCGCGCCCCCGCGCCCCCUGCACCACCGCCGCCACGCGUCCGCCUCUGGCUCCCCCGCCGUCGACGGUUUCGACGACGGCGUCGCUCGACUCAACGCCUUCCUCCGCCGCCAGCGCGCCGCCCUCGCCGAUCUGUCCUCCGGGGACCGCUCCUCCCGCUCGAGGUCCACGAAGCUCGUGCUCUCCGACGCCUCCAAAAGUGUGAGCUCGAUCGUGGCGGCGAUAUGCUACGCGUGGAUGCAGUCGAGCAAGGGGGACGGCCAGGCGGCGGCGGUGCCGGUGGUGAACAUGCGCCGGAGCAGGAUGGCGGGGUGCAGGCAGGCGGCCUGGCUCCUCUACCACGUCGGGGUCGACGCCUCGGCCCUGCUCUUCGCCGACGAGGUUGAUAUGGAGGGAUUAAUAAUGGAUCAGCGGGCCAGCUUGGUGGUGGUGGGGCAAGAUGUUUUGAGAUCAAACGGUGAGGCGGGCUCAGUUUGCACACUCCUCGCCAAUGACCAUUCUGAAGAAGCUUAUGCCCUACUUCAGAGCCUGGACAUAAAGAAACUUCUGCUUGCAGGUAUCCUGUUAGAUACAAACAACCUUUCCAAGGUGUGCUCAGAGAAAGAUUCAGAGGCGGUGCGAUCGCUCUUGCUCGGUUCCUCUGAGCAUAAACGGCAUGAAUUGUUUCAACAAUUGAUGCUUGAUCACAAUGAGCAUUCUUUCGUCGAGUUCUUGAAGAACACCUACAGAAAGUCAUCCACAGAUGGUGCUGGGGACAGUCCUCCAGAGCAAAAGAAUUCAGUUUCAGGGGCAUCCCAAGAUGCUAAAAAAUCCAAUUCAGCUAACCAGAAACCAGCGCGCGGAAAGCCUUCAGAAGAAGCUCCUCAGGGGAAAAACAAAUUUUCCUUGGCCAAGUUUUUUGGUUUUGGUCGAAAAUAA
rnacentral:rRNA from 1 species